rnacentral:tRNA from 1 species
GUUGAUUUGGCAGAAUAUAUUUAUGCAUUAAAUUUAGAAUUUAAAUAUAUAAUUAAUAUUAUAUUCAAUA